rnacentral:rRNA from 1 species
CCUACGGGAGGCAGCAGUGGGGAAUCUUGCGCAAUGGGCGAAAGCCUGACGCAGCCAUGCCGCGUGAAUGAUGAAGGUCUUAGGAUUGUAAAAUUCUUUCACCGGGGACGAUAAUGACGGUACCCGGAGAAGAAGCCCCGGCUAACUUCGUGCCAGCAGCCGCGGUAAUACGAAGGGGGCUAGCGUUGCUCGGAAUUACUGGGCGUAAAGGGAGCGUAGGCGGAUAGUUUAGUCAGAGGUGAAAGCCCAGGGCUCAACCUUGGAAUUGCCUUUGAUACUGGCUAUCUUGAGUGUGGGAGAGGUUAGCGGAACUCCGAGUGUAGAGGUGAAAUUCGUAGAUAUUCGGAAGAACACCAGUGGCGAAGGCGGCUAACUGGCCCAUUACUGACGCUGAGGCUCGAAAGCGUGGGGAGCAAACAGGAUUAGAUACCCUGGUAGUCCACGCCGUAAACGAUGAGUGCUAGUUGUCGGCAUGCAUGCAUGUCGGUGGACGCAGCUACGACAUUAAGACACUCCGCCGUCGGGGAGGUACGGUCGGCGAAGAAGUUAAAACGUUAAAGGUAAAGUUAGUUACGGCGUGAGACGUGCCGACGGACGACGACGAGGGAGGAGG